GACGAACGCUGGCGGCGUGCUUAACACAUGCAAGUCGAACGGAAACGCCCUGCUUGCUUGGGGUUCCCGAGUGGCGAAGGGGUGCGUAACAGGUGUGUAACCUGCUCUUGUCUUUGGGGUAACUUCAGGUAACUGGGGCUACUACAGGACAGGAGCCCCCGUUCCGGGGAGGGGGGUGGAACGUCUCGGCUGGCGGGGAUGGAUUCGCGGCUUACCGGCUUGCUGGUGGGGUAGUGGCUUACCAAGGCAUGGAAGGGUAGGCGGCCUGUGAGGGUGAACGGCCACAUUGGGACUGAGGGACGGCCCAGACUCGUACGGGAGGCAGCGGUGGGGAGUAUUACACAAUGGGCGGGAGCCUGAUGAGGCAACGCCGCGGUCGGGAUGACGGCCUUCGGGUUGUAAACCGCUUUAGCCUGUGACGAAGCGGGUGUGACGGUAAUGGGUAAAGAAGCACCGGCUAACUACGUG
rnacentral:rRNA from 1 species